AGAGUUUGAGCCUGGCUCACGACGAACGCUGGCGGCGUGCUUAACACAUGCAAGUCGAGCGAUGAAACACCUUCAGGUGUGAAUUAGCGGCGAACGGGUGAGGAACACGUGAAGAAUCUGCCUUCAACUCUGGGAUAACUCCGGGAAACCGGGGCUAAUACCGGAUAUGAGCCUUGAUCGCAUGAUCGGGGCUGGAAAGUUUUUCGGUUGAUGAUGACUUCGCGGCCUAUCAGCUUGUUGGUGAGGUAAUGGCUCACCAAGGCGACGACGGGUAGCCGGCCUGAGAGGGCGACCGGCCACACUGGGACUGAGACACGGCCCAGACUCCUACGGGAGGCAGCAGUGGGGAAUAUUGGGCAAUGGAGGAAACUCUGACCCACCGACGCCGCGUGAGGGAUGAAGGCCUUCGGGUUGUAAACCUCUUUCAGUAGGGAAGAAGCGAAAGUGACGGUACCUACAAAAGAAGCACCGGCUAACUAUGUGCCAGCAGCCGCGGUAAUACAUACGGUGCAAGCGUUGUCCGGAAUUAUUGGGCGUAUAGAGCUCGUAGGUGGUUCGAUACGUCGGAUGUGAAAAUCAGGGGCUCAACCCCUGACCUGCAUCCGAUACGGUCGAGCUGGAGUUUGGUAGGGGAGACUGGAAUUCCUGGUGUAGCGGUGGAAUGCGCAGAUAUCAGGAGGAACACCGAUGGCGAAGCAGGUCUCUGGGCCAAUACUGACACUGANGAGCGAAAGCGUGCGGAGCGAACAGGAUUAGAUACCCUGGUAGUCCACGCCGUAACGGUGGGCACUAGUUGUGCGAACUUUCUCGGUUUGUGCGACGCAGCUAACGCUUAAGCGCUCCGCUGGGGGAGUACGAUCG
rnacentral:rRNA from 1 species